UGUAAACAUCAACCGCACAAUCAUGGGUUCAAGUGUUGAGGCCACCCAUGGAUGGCGUGUCUUAAACAAAUC
rfam:Salinicoccus alkaliphilus DSM 16010 genome assembly, contig: EJ97DRAFT_scaffold00001.1